ensembl:ncRNA F12D9.6 ncRNA
CGGUAAAGAAGCGUGUGUGCUUUUAUCUCAACAGCAUUAACACGGCAUCCUCGUCCACUUGACCCACGACAACAAUUAACCGUCUCCCGCCCUCAUUCUAUAUAUUCCCUCAAUCCGACCUUCUGCCAUCUAGUACAGAAAAC